rnacentral:rRNA from 1 species
GGACGAACGCUGGCGUCGUGCUUAACACAUGCAAGUCGAACGGAAAGGCCUCUUUCGGGGGGUACUCGAGUGGCGAACGGGUGAGUAACACGUGAGUAACCUGCCCUUGACUUUGGGAUAACUUCAGGAAACUGGGGCUAAUACCGGAUAGGAGCUCCUGCUGCAUGGUGGGGGUUGGAAAGUUUCGGCGGUUGGGGAUGGACUCGCGGCUUAUCAGCUUGUUGGUGGGGUAGUGGCUUACCAAGGCUUUGACGGGUAGCCGGCCUGAGAGGGUGACCGGCGACAUUGGGACUGAGAUACGGCCCAGACUCCUACGGGAGGCAGCAGUGGGGAAUAUUGCACAAUGGGUGGAAGCCUGAUGCAGCAACGCCGUGUGCGGGAUGACGGCCUUCGGGUUGUAAACCGCUUUCGCUCAUGACGAAGCUUUGUGUGACGGUAGUGGGUAAAGAAGCACCGGCUAACUACGUG